UACGGAGGGGGCUAGCGUUGUUCGGAAUUACUGGGCGUAAAGCGUGCGCAGGCGGUUUUGUAAGACAGGCGUGAAAUCCCCGAGCUCAACUUGGGAAUUGCGCUUGUGACUGCAAGGCUAGAGUGUGUCAGAGGGGGGGUAGAAUUCCACGUGUAGCAGUGAAAUGCGUAGAGAUGUGGAGGAAUACCGAUGGCGAAGGCAGCCCCCUGGGACAUGACUGACGCUCAUGCACGAAAGCGUGGGGAGCAAACAGG
rnacentral:rRNA from 1 species